UACGUAGGGGGCGAGCGUUGUCCGGAGUUACUGGGCGUAAAGCGCUUGUAGGCGGUCCACCAAGUUUGGGGUGACAGUUGCCGACUUAAUCGGCAAAGUGCCUCAAAGACUGGCGGACUUGAGGGCCACAGAGGGACAUGGAACUCCAGGUGUAGUGGUGAAAUGCGUAGAUAUCUGGAAGAACACCAAAGGCGAAGGCAGUGUCCUGGGUGGUCGCUGACGCUGAGAGGCGAAAGCCAGGGGAGCGAACGGGG
rnacentral:rRNA from 1 species